CUGAGUGAGUGAAGAUGAAAAGAAGAUUAGAUUUUGCUUAUGAUGAGCAGGCCAGACGGAGCCCGGAGAGGUCACCAGAACACACAGGAGCUGCCUUUCUGAGGAGAAGCUUCCAAACACUGGAUGAUUCUAGAAGAGGCUGCAGGAUUCUGCCCUCAUCCAGCAGGACAUGCUGAGUCCCUUCUCUGCACGAGGCUCUGUGCCAACCACCAGGGACACAGUAGUGAUGAAGAUAGACCCAGUCUCUGUCCUUCUGGACCGAUUCUCCAGAGAGCUUCUCCCAGGGCCUGGAUGCCAUCUUCCAGGUCUCACCUCAAAUCUCACUGAAGCAGAGACUAUCUGAGUAGCCUGGCAGUUUCAUUUUUAACAACAGCCCCAUGGAGUCUGAUGCAUUCCGGCUUGGGGAUCUUUCUGGGAAUGCCGAGCUGCUGGGCUUCCUUCCAAGGCUGCUUUUAUCACACUGAGUCCCAGAGCGCGUGGCUGCCAUCACCUCAGAGCGCGGCCUCCGUCAGGGAUGCGAAGCUGGACUCUGUCCAGUACACCUCUAUCUGUGCUUUUUGGAUCUGUGUCUCUUUUUUAAAACACAAUGUGUUGGCAUCUUCCAGAACUCUACUCGCAGACACUCCUCUGCCUUACCAGCAAUGGUCAAGGGGAGCAAACUUCGCAUUUUUCCUAUUGGGGUUGCAGAGAAGGUCCUUAUUUGCAGGACUAUGAGGCCAGUAUUUUAAAUUCUGGCUUUUCCAAUUACUAACUGCAACCUGCACCCAACUGCUUGAUGUUUAAACUUAGUUUUUAUUUCUUUAUAAUGAUUAAUAAUAAGAUUCACCCUAUGUCUAAUAUAUUGAGAGCAAAAUGAGAUGUAAAUUGUCAAAUAUUGUUGAAUUCCGAUGGAGUAAUAUUAUUAGCCAGCAUUUCUGGGUCUUUAAGUAGUAGAUAUUUAAUUGCUUUUACUGCACAUGUAUUCAUCCCAUCAAGAGGUUAGCCAAGGUGUGGAGAAAAGCUGGGCCUCACUGUUCAUGGAAAGCUCCAGUACUAGGCUCUUAGAGGGACCCUGGGAGACAUGACCACAGACAGGCUAUCCUUCUCCCCAGGAACAGCGUGCUUCCCAAGGGCCACAGUGCACACCACCACACAGGUGGGUUGAAUGGUAUGUUCUAACACAGGUGUGCUAACAGGGCUGACUCUGGACACUAUGUACAGAGGGUCUUUAUAUGGUUAAAAUAUCACACCUGGAAAAAGAACCAGUACUCUCUAGAAAUGAAGAGCUAGAAUGGGUGUGUAUCUAGACCUGGCUUCCUUCAGGACCCAAAGGUCCACAGGCAAGCACUCCAAUACACUAACCACUGGGGUCAAGAGCUGGGUACUGUAGCAAGGCCCGUCCAGAGGGAGCCCGCUGACCACACUCUCUACAAGCCUGCUCUCUGCUGUCCUCCUUGGAGAGAAAGCUCCCUUUGUAAACCAACGGCAACACACCUACGGCAGCAAAGAGUCCUCCCCUGGUGUGGCCUUAGGUCACCCACAGUCAAGUGGCGUCAAACCAACAAUAACAAUGCCCGACACUUGGCCUUUUAAUAGUGUGAUGUCCUUUCUGAUGGAGACUAAAUGGGGAGUCCAAGUUUAGGGUAGAAAACAAUUCUGUCUGGCAAAGUCGCAGAGAUGGUGGUGGGCGGCAGUGAGGGGGAGCCGAAGUGGGAAUACAAUGGCCUGUGGGAACCACUAAGCAAAGACUGACCCCUCAGCUGCAGAAAUAUCCUUAACAAAGAGCCAGAGCCGGAGCUCCAACAGAAAUCCAUCCAUUCAUUUGUUCAUCACUUGUUAUCCACCCACCCAUCUAUCCGUCCACACGCCCCUUCAUGCAUGCGCCCGUCCAUGCACGUGCCCAUCCAUCCACACACCUGUCCAUCCAGCAGGUAUUUGUGGAGUGUUAACUAGAUGCCAAGCACUGUUCCGGGCUCUGAGUUGUAAAAAACGACAAAAAACACUCAAAAAAACUAAGUGUCUGUCUCAUGAGCACUUUCAUUCUAGUGGAGAGCAAGAUCACAGACAGAUACAGGAUAAAACACAAGUGGCGACAGAAGAUCCUGCGAAGAAAGCAGAUGAAGGGGCAGAGAGCACGGGGUGCAGCGGCUAGUAGUCCCCACACAAGCAGGGCUUCGGGAAGCAAAACUGAGGUGGCACUUCAAGAGAAAGGGCACGUACCUCUUGCUCAGAGGAGGGCCAGCUGAGAAGAGAAUGGCAGAUGAACAGAGGGGCCCAGUGCUGAGGCUUCCAGGAAAGGACGAGGGCAGCCCUGGUGCACCUGUCCAGGUGAGAAGUGCUGUGGCCACAGACCCGAUCUGGAAAUGGUCACCAGUCUAGCAGUGAGUGGCAGAGGACGUCCCCCUGGGAUGACGGCUAUUCCUGAUUCAGGGCUCAAGGCCACUUGAGAGUGAAGAGGUAGCCAAUGGGGACACGAGGUGGAAAAUGACAGAAGAGCAUUUCAGAGUCUUCAAAAGGAGGAGAGAUGCCCAUCUCCAGGACAGGAACAGAAACAAGCAAUGAGAAACCCGUACUCUGGGCCAGGCCCAGUUGUUUGGAGUCCCGAAUCUGCACUUUAGGGAAACAAGACAUUCCUAUGAAAUGAUAUCAAAAGCGCUUUUGAAUUCUGACUCUAGGAUCCCACAGUCAAUUAUUUCAUAGCGCUUAAGACCUCAACAUGAUCACCAGUCGCCUGGGUACCCCAAGUUUCCCACAGACACAGGACUCUGUCCUACCUUAUUUGCUGAAUCAAUACUGCCUAUUUGGGGUGCACUGAAUUUUUCGUAGAGACAGGCUGACUUCUGACAUAUCAUCAUCUUAAUAGUUUUGAAACAAAGUUUUUGGAAUGCCUGUGGCUUCCACAUCCAUGCCUCGUCAAAGUGUGAAACAAUCCUAAGCAUCUUAUAAAGCCCUUUUCGCUUUUUGCCUUUGUGCUUGAUCUUUUCCAUUUCAAUUAACUUUCUCUUGAAGUGUCACUGGAUGAAAGACAUCACAGAAAUGGCAGAACCUGUUAGAAAUGCAACCUUUUAGCUCCCAAGAGAGUCUAAUUCCAUUUCACUUAUGCAAGUUUUGACUGAUGGUGACCCAGUAUCUUAGGUGUAAGUCUCCUCAUGAUGAAUCGUUUUAAAGAGCUUGAUCGUGGAGGCAACUGCAGCUCUGAGCUAAUAGAACUCAACAUGCCACUCGGUCACCUUCUGCAACUUUGGAAGAAUGUGCCAGGUGUGAAUGAAGACGUUCAGUAUAGACAAAGACCUGGACUGGGAACAGGAGAUCUGUUCAAGGAGAAUAAGAUUCUGCAGCUCACAAAACCAGGCUGUGCAGUAGCUCUCUGACCUGGACAUUUGCAAUUUGACAACUUCUGUAGCUAUCACCAGAGCUAGGCACUAGGGCCAAUGUGUGUCAACUUUUUUCCUCCACUAACGAAAGGCAGGCACUUGUCUGGCAUUGCUAAAGAUUUAAGAACAAACGUAUUUAAAAAUAAACUUAAUAACAACCUUUCUGCAUGUAAUUGUUAUUAACUCAAAAAAUACUUAAUUGAUAUCUAUUAAGCAUAAUGGAUGAUUCCUGCUAAAUAAAAAGUAAGAAAGACAUAAUGACCUCGAAUACACUGCAGAGAAGCAAGCACAGGAGACACUUAUGAAUCAUCUUGCAAA
ensembl:lincRNA uncharacterized LOC110597851